UGCUGUAGAGGUAGUCUAUUUGCUCUUAAAUCCCUCCAUCUAUCCGGUCACAUGGCGCCUCUUCUUCCCAUCAUGCCUCUCCGUGUCCCGAGCACUCCGACCGCGGUGGCGCUGAUCUAGCAGGCGGCGCUGAAGGAGGAAUUACGGAUUGUAUUUUCUGUUCUCUGAGGAGUCCUGAUCUUGGAACCAGAGCAUGGCAGCAUGAGAACUUGAAGGGCUUCAUCUACACAAGGGCACUGUUUUAAAUCUGGAUGACGGCAGUUCAGCAUUGUCCUUAUAGAUGUCCUUGAACUUUUCUUAUGUUUUUUUUUUAUUUAAUGAAACUGGCAAGAGUAAUAUUUCUAAUGCAAGACAAGGAAUCUUGUUUCCGUUUACAACUAGCCAGGCCAAUUUGAAUGUUUGAAUAGUAAUCCCAAAUCCCUCUUGAGGACGGUUAAGUCAGUGACAGGCACUGAGCCGAGAAGAUUAAGCUCCUAUUAGGUUUAAGAGAGAAGUGGAGGAUGAACACCUGUUUGACUAAACAGCCAAAUCCAGACCACUUUACUCGUCCUAUUUUUGAGUUUACUUUUGUGUAGAAGGCAGUCUCUUCUUUUCUCUGUUCCUCUUUUUCCUUUCCACUCUUCUGCAAAGCGAGAAUAGAGGCAGUCAUUGCUUGUUUUCAGCAGCUUUCGUAUAGGGAAGACUGUGCUUAGUUUGUUAUAUUUGGGCCUCGAGAGCAUAGUGACAUUCAGGGUAAGCCAGCAGCCUCCUUCAGCCUGUUUGGGGA